rnacentral:tRNA from 1 species
CAGACAUAGUUUAGCGGUAAAACUUCGGCUUCCCAAGCCGACGUUGCGGGUUCGACUCCCGUUGUCUG